CCAAAUCCAAAUCCAAACCCCAUGUGAACUAUUGUAUAGUCUGUCUUUGGGAGAGAAUGAUAAGAAAUAGUUUAUUCUGUUUCCUGGAUUUCUUUCCCAAUAAAGUCCGGCACAACUUUAUUGAUGUGUCCAGAUUCGAAACCCUUUAAACCACUUGAUUUUUCUGUUGGAAUUUACUUUUAUUAAUUUUAAAUAAAAGA
rnacentral:misc_RNA from 1 species